GGGGAAUGGGUCUGCAUGGAGUGGACACCUCGCUUGCACCGAGGACAUCAGGACGGUUCGAUUCCGUUAUUCUCCACCA
rnacentral:tRNA from 1 species